rnacentral:ncRNA from 1 species
CCGUCACAACGGCUUCCUGGCGUGACGGCGACACCUAAUGGAGCA